ACUUAGUGGUUAGGGCAUUGCAUGAGCUUAUCAUUUAACCUUUCCCAUACUUCAUACAAGGGCUCAUUGUUGAGCUAACAAAAAUUUGCGAUCUCAUCCUGUAUU
rfam:Capsicum annuum cultivar Zunla-1 chromosome 5, whole genome shotgun sequence